rnacentral:tRNA from 2 species
ACUUAAAUAGCUUAAAUUAAAGCUUAACUCUGAAGAAGUUGUGAUAGGUAUAUACCUUUUAAGUA